GCUGGAGAAGAUUCUGUCGCCACAGUGAAUAACCAGGAACCUCGGAUAUGGAUAGAAUUCCAAGACCAUUUGGGCCAAAACCUUGUUCAAUUUUUGCGGAUAAAUCAGCAUUUUUGUCCUUUAGUUGGGUAUAUGGUAUGGAAACAGUUUGAACUUUAGCGCAGAAGGAAGUCAUCGUGAUGGAAUGGCCAAGAGAGGGAGAAUGAGC
rnacentral:misc_RNA from 1 species